UACGGAGGGUGCAAGCGUUAUCCGGAUUUACUGGGUUUAAAGGGUGUGUAGGUGGGCUGUUAAGUCAGUGGUGAAAUCUCCGGGCUCAACCCGGAAACUGCCAUUGAUACUAAUGGUCUUGAAUUUUGUUGAGGUAGGCGGAAUAAGUCAUGUAGCGGUGAAAUGCAUAGAUAUGACUUAGAACACCAAUUGCGAAGGCAGCUUGCUAAACAAAUAUUGACGCUGAGGCACGAAAGCGUGGGGAUCAAACAGG
rnacentral:rRNA from 1 species